CUCACUCGAGACCUAGAUCGAGUUGCGCCGCCGGGAGGCGCCGGCGCUGGUGUCCACGAGGUGGUCAAGCAACGGCGUUCGCGACGGCGACGUGGUGAGGCGCAGAAGACGGUGGCCACGACGGGGGUUAGGCGCGCCGACGACGGCGACUCGUUCCUGGCCGCGACGGUGACGGCGACUCGCUCCUGGCCGCGACAGUGACGGCGACUCGCUCCUGGCCGCGACGGCGACGUUAGCCGGCAGCCGUGACCUGACCGUGACGGCGAAUCGCUCAUCCUCCUCUGCUCCACCAAGAACUGUUAAGAGUGAUUUGGAGGAUUCAAGAUUCUGUGAAGCUCUUUUGACAUUUAAAGCUCAGAACUGAAGUUACAUUGUCAUAGGUUCAAUAUGACGCAAAAUAGGGCUAAGUGGACAGCAAGGUAUGAGAAAGGUCUCGUGGAGGUACUUACAGAGUACAAUCUAUCUCAUUACCGUGGCCAAAAUGGGUGGACUACCGAAGGAUGGAAUCAAGUUGUCAAGGAACUGAACAAUUUAUAUCCAGAGGCAAGGUUUACCAAGGAUCAGGUUCAAGAUAAGGAAGCUCAGUUGAAAAAGCACUACAAAAAUAUCAAGUUGAUAGUCAACCGCUCUGGAAUAUCAUGGAAUGAUAUUGCAUGUGUGAUCAACACCACGCCUGAAAAAUGGGAAGAGAUCAUUGCAGAGGACCCAAAGCUCAAAAUGUAUGAAGGAAAGAGCUUUCCAUUGUACGAGGCAUUGGGUGUGCUCUAUGAAGGACACAUUGCGCAAGGAAGACAUUGCCUCACAUCAAGGAAGCCUCCGAUUGGCACAAAAACAGGUAGCAACUUUGGAGCGAAGGAUAAGAUGGUUGCAAGCACUAGCAAGAAAAAUACAAGACAUGGAAGAGAUGACAACGUAAGGACUUCUUCAAUAAUUGACAUCAAUGAUACUCCUACAUUAGAUGAUGUGGAUGAAAGAGAGAACACUGUCAAUGACGAGGAAGAAUUAGGCAGUGAAGAUGCUGAUGGCGAUCAACCACAAAUAAGUGAAUCAAGUGCGAAAGGGAAAAAAACUAAGAAAAAAAAAGGUGCCACAUCUGUACAGCGGCUUGACGAUUCCAUGAUGGCUUAUGUGAAUUUCAAGAAAGAUCAAGCUUCCAAGAAGAAAAAAAGUGUCACAGCAAGGAAAACAACCCUCAAUUACAGAAUGCUUGCAGGUCUUGAAUGACAUGGAUGAUGUUCCCGACCAGGUCAAAAUCUUUGCCUCUGAUGUUUUCAAGGAUGCAGCAAAUCGUGAGAUUUUCCUGGGUUACAACUCAAGAUUGCGGGGUAUGUGGCUAAAGAAGGAAGUCGACAAGAUUAGUCCUCGGCCUCCUCCUUCUCGGUUUUCAUCUGGCGGUAUUCCUUCAAUCAAUCUGGUGCUCUGAUCAAAGGAUGUCCUUUCACAUGAUUCUAUGAUUACCCGAGUCCAUGAAGCAAUCAAUAAUGUUCCUGAAAUAUUUUAUGUCUAAGCGCACAAUGGUUGAACAAUUGCCUCAAUAAAUUUGGUUAUGUAGCAUGCGGACGAGACGAGACAAGUAUGCCUCGAUAAAUUUGUAAUUUAAACUACUGACUUUGAGCACUAUGAGUUAUCGGAACUAUGUUCAAAUGGAUGAUUGCAAAAAUAUUAUCCUUUUUUU